CCUACGGGAGGCAGCAGUGGGGAAUAUUGGGCAAUGGGCGCAAGCCUGACCCAGCAACGCCGCGUGAAGGAAGAAGGCUUUCGGGUUGUAAACUUCUUUUAAGAGGGAAGAGCAGAAGACGGUACCUCUUGAAUUAGCCACGGCUAACUACGUUCCAGCAGCCGCGGUAAUACGUAGGUGGCCAGCGUUGUCCGGAUUUACUGGGUGUAAAGGGCGUGUAGCCGGGCUGCCAAGUAAGAUGUGAAAUUCCGGGGCUCAACCCCGGAACUGCAUUUGAAACUGUUGGUCUUGAGUAUCGGAGAGGCAGGCGGAAUUCCUAGUGUAGCGGUGAAAUGCGUAGAUAUUAGGAGGAACACCAGUGGCGAAGGCGGCCUGCUGGACGACAACUGACGGUGAGGCGCGAAAGCGUGGGGAGCAAACAGGAUUAGAUACCCUUGUAGUC
rnacentral:rRNA from 1 species